rnacentral:rRNA from 1 species
GACGAACGCUGGCGGCGUGCCUAACACAUGCAAGUCGAACGAGGUCCAAGGAAGCUUGCUUCCUGAAGACCUAGUGGCGAACGGGUGAGUAACACGUGAGAAACCUGCCUCGGAGUGGGGAAUAACUCGGGGAAACUCGAGCUAAUACCGCAUACCUUCACAUGAUCGCAUGGUCGAGUGAAGAAAGAAUUUCGCUCUGAGAGGGUCUCGCGGCCUAUCAGCUUGUUGGUGGGGUAACGGCCUACCAAGGCAACGACGGGUAGCUGGUUUGAGAGAACGAUCAGCCACACUGGGACUGAGACACGGCCCAGACUCCUACGGGAGGCAGCAGUGGGGAAUCUUGCGCAAUGGGCGAAAGCCUGACGCAGCAACGCCGCGUGCGGGAUGACGGCCUUCGUGGUUGUAAACCGCUUUCAGCAGGGACGGAAAAUAGACGGUACC